rnacentral:rRNA from 1 species
CGGCGCGCCUAACACAUGCAAGUCGAACGGGGUCCUUUUAGGAAGCUUGCUUCUUGGCUGGACCCAGUGGCGGACGGGUGAGUAACACGUGAGCAACCUGCCCUGAAGUGGGGGAUAACACUCGGAAACGGGUGCUAAUACCGCAUAAUAUCCCGGGAUGGCAUCAUCUCGGGAUCAAAGGAGUAAUCCGCUUUGGGAUGGGCUCGCGCCCGAUUAGAUAGUUGGUGGGGUAAUGGCCCACCAAGUCUGCGAUCGGUAGCCGGACUGAGAGGUUGAUCGGCCACAUUGGGACUGAGACACGGCCCAGACUCCUACGGGAGGCAGCAGUGGGGGAUAUUGCACAAUGGGGGAAACCCUGAUGCAGCGACGCCGCGUGAGUGAAGACGGCCUUCGGGUUGUAAAGCUCUGUUGUGGGGGACGAAACAAAUGACGGUACCCCACCAGAAAGCCACGGCUAACUACGUGCCAGCAGCCGCGGUAACAC